rnacentral:lncRNA from 1 species
UAGGCAUCCGUAGUUGCAAAACGAUUCUGGAUUUUUGCUUGGUAAAUUUUCUGGAAUUACUAAUUUGUGCAUGUAUCGGUCAGCAAUCAAAAUCAUUUGUUGAUCGAGAAGUCCAAAAAUAGCAAGGUCCGUUCUCUUCACUGAAUUUUUAACUUUGCUCCCUAUUGUAUAUAUAUUCACAUGAGAAGCAGGUAUUUAAUUGGGAAAUAAAUCCUGGGAUUUUAAUUAGUAAUUUGCUGGUAUAGAAAGAUGGAUCUGUUAUUAAUAAACAUCAAGUAGUUCUUACGUUUCCUAUAGACAAUUCAUUGAUGAUAGGAACAUUGCGUGGAAAUUGAUUUUAUAAAUUAUUACAGAGAUAGCUAAUGAAACUAGAGUUGUACUCCGUAUUUUUUUUUUGAGCAUCAGUACAGACACAAGCGCAUAUAUAUACGCGCAUACACCCCUAUGUACUCCGUAUUAGAACUGUUGCCCUUGGGGUUGUAUGGAUAGGUGGUUUGUAGAAAAUCCGUUCUAUAUAAACUAGGAAAACGGCCUAACAACCUAAAACCACGUUUGGCUAGCCUAACUAAUCCGUGGAUAUGGAAAACCGAAUUUCCUAAAACCCAGAAUUUCGCGUUUGUGGAAAAAACGACUAUUAGUCGUUUUUGUAAAAACUGAUAUCCUCGUUCCUCUCUGUUGCUGAUCCUGGCGGGCCCGUUCCUGAGCAAAGUCCAGCCAUUUCCAUGUCCUUGGCUACAUAUCGCCGGCCUGCUCGAGUGACAGUGAGACGACGCCGGCUGUGAUGGGCUCGUCGGUGAGUCGUACCAUGUGGCCGUAUGUCCUCGUCUGGCCGCUGUGCCACGGCCGCCGCGUCCUCCGUGUCAUCCGUUCUGGUCGUCGUCGCCGCCGUCGAGGUCAGCUCGUUGUGCGUUCGCGGCGAGCCGUCGGCACGCGACAACAAAGCAGGAGGAGUCGUAUAUGGCUGCAGCUUGGCGUCGACCAAUGGGUUUGCACCCGUUGGCACAAGCCUUUUCUCGUCCUUAACCCCAACGGCGAGGGUGCAUAGCCACAGGCAGGGGCACCAUGGCCAUGAACGUCGACGUGCAUACAGCGUGAACGACCAAGAGGAACAUGGAUCCGAGGAGGCUUUUGCCAUGAACCCUCAUGUGUCUUUCAAGUACGUCUAUGUUUCGUACAUUUUGCAGCCGGCGGAUCGAAUCGUUCCAGAUGCUUGCCCAUGGUACCAAGCUUCUACGUGUGCGCGUACGCGGCCGUCCGGCGAGAUCAACCACCCAGCUCCAUUACCUGCGUUCCAUCGACGGAAAGGCGAGAUCACGGGAGAAUGGGGAACUCUUUUCAACCCAAACGUGGUCUUCUAUAAACUGAGUAUUAACAAAAAGGUUUGUAAAACUGGUUUUCCUAAAAAUCAGUUAAAAACUCGUUUUCUAUAAACUCAAUGCUAAUAUUUGUUAUCCAAACAACCACUUAAGGUGUUUUGACUAUUGAGCUUUACUCGGGGUGUUGAAGUGCAACAAUUACUUCUCCCUGGAGGGUCUCUAUACCUUUGCAUGUCUGUAGUAUAUAAUAUCUGGUGUUCCUUCUUUUAAGUUUUUAAUUGUCAAAUUUCAUGUUGUUCUUGUUCCUGUUUGCUCUUUAUCCAAAUCUUCCUGGGAUUUAAUCAGAAAGGAUGCUCAAUGGGACUUUGUCACGCCGAGAUAUCAGCAGCAAUCGGCAACGACAAAGCUCAAUUAUCUAUUGCAUAUUCAGAAGAAAGCAUCUGCUGUCGACAAUCAAGGCACUAUGACAGGUAUAUCAAAAAAGUGUUCCGCCGAUCUAGUUCAUGACUUCAGAUGCAUCUAUAUUAAAGCUUUAUAAAAUUUUUUCUUUGCAAAUUGUUUAGUUGGUGGAGUAUAUAUACUUGAUUGCUUAUCCUAAAUAUGAUUUUGGGCACAUAGGGUCUGACUAGAUUCAAAACCUGCUUAACUUCACACUGAUCUUGGUGUGAACACCCAUUCUUCGAUUAGCCCCUCCACCAUAGUUGUGAGUCGGAUUUUUAUUUAUUUUUGGUACCAUCAAGGGCAUUCAAUAUUUCUUGAUCUAUUUGACUGGAUAUUUACUGGAUAACAAAAUAAUCUAGAAACUUCUACUGGACAUUGCCUCAGUUCCGUUCGAGAAAAUGGUAUAUGCAGUGAAUCAAAAGGUUUAUACUCAUAAAGAGAGGUAGAAAAUCUAAUCUCGGUUUUUUUAAGGGUUGGGUGUAUAUGUAUAUACUGGUACUUGAAAAGGGGUAUCUGCUCUAAUUUUUUCAAGCAUGCAUGCAAGUCUGUCAGUGUAUGUAACUUAUAAAGCUUUGAAAAUGUAUUGUUCGUUGAUGUUAUUCCUUAUUAAUUUUCCCUAGCAUAAACCAGACUUUAUAUGUAAAUGUGCUUCUGGAGUAUUUAUCGACCAAGAUUGUUUGUUGUGCACUUAUGUCAGCAUCUAGAUCAUAAAUCUAUAACAUUGCAUCUCGUUGAACAGCAUCGUAUGUGCUAUUUUCUGGCAUAACCUUUGAUGUUAAUGCUCAUAAAACAACAAAGAAACAUUAUACUUCGAGAAAGAGGAUGGCAAAUUGUACCGAAUGUUCCAAACAGAAUGAAAAUUAGACCAUGUGUUCGUUUUUGAUUGCAUCCACAAAUUUAGUUGUUUUGGGCAAAACUACAAGCUUAUUUCUCAGAUUGUAGUAUGUUUUGCACCAAAUUCUAAGAGAGUGAGCGCUUCAUUUCUUUGAGAAGCAAAACCUGGACUAAGGAUUGCAAGUUGUUUAUUUAUUCCUAGCAUUUUCUACAAUCUUCUAUUUUGCUGCCGAUCAUCUCUUGCAAGUUAACAAGAACACUAUUACUUUGUUAACAAAUAUCCAUUCAUUUUCUUCUUGGCUAAUGUUUAUUUGUUCUGAAGCUCCAUGCAUAUACAUACCCGUAGUUACAAAAUGAUUUCUCUGUCGGAAUUGCAUAUGCAUAUCAACAUAUUGUUUAUUUCAACACAACCUUAUGCCCCUAGGAUGUGCUUUAUUGAUGCUACUUAUUGUUUCCUAUACUCUAAUCAGUAAAUAUGAAAUUCUCAGUGAACCAUAAUCAGUUUUAUUUACACUGUAGGUAGCUCAAGCCUAAGAUGCAAACAUCUCUAGGAAUGGAGUUGCUGACGGUAUGCAAAGAAUGAGACAAUGGUGAUGGUCAGGAUCGAUGUGUCAAGCAUCUGAGACAUAUCGACGUCAAGACAUGGAAGAGGGCUCUCUGCCCUUAUAGAUAGGCCUUCUUACCAUGCUGCAUUACUAACCUGCACAAUUAAUGUGUAUCGAAAUUAACUUUGGAAGAACAUUAAGCAUGCAAACAUAGCUGUGGAGAAUCCUUGGAACAUCUUACCUGCAAUGUUAACUUAAACCUUCUGGAUCAGCAAAUGCUUCAUCCUUCUCUUCAAAUGUAAAUUCUACUGCCCAGAACAAACCAGUUUAAGAGUUACGGGAAGCUUGUCUUCUUGAGCAUUCUGAAAA